rnacentral:misc_RNA from 1 species
GUGGAGUUUGGGUUGACAGCUAUCAAUGUAACGUCAUCACGGUGGUGUCGAAGAAUCCUGGGCACAUCUGAAAGGAGAAGAGAGUCGUGGAUGCAAAUGAUUUUAGGAGCAGAAGGAAUUUGAGACGAAUGAUGUUAAAGAGGAAUUUGGGGCAGAAGGAAUUUGGGACGAAUGAUGAACGAAAUUGGGGAGACAGAGAGAGAGAGAGAGAGAGAG